AUGGCAGGCGCAGCAGGCGCGACCGGUGCGCCGCGGUCUUGACCAGCAAGGGCCACUAUGACGACGGCGGCUACUGUAGCAGCUCGGAGGGAAAAUCGUGCGUCAGCCAGACGUCACGAUGCGUGUACAUCCGAUACAUCACGGCAGUGUUUUGCUCAUCUGGAGUACUUACGUAUCAUUACCGUCUUCCUAGGUGUAGUCAACGAAUCUUUCGUAAUCCAUGAACAUCGACACUCGUCGGUGACGUAUUCGUCAGCCAGUUCAUGGAAGAGAAAUCCACACCGUAGGUAGAUGAAGUCUGAAAAAAAUAAACUAAUCGCAAAAAUGAAAACGUGAUAACGAGAGUAAUCCAUUUUUGCAAAGAGGGGGAUCGGAUCUUAUACCUUCGUGCGAUCGACAAGAAUGUGCUUGGUGCAGGCUUGACACAUGCUCGAUGCACAGUUGGUGAAGCGAAGCGUGGUGAUAACGUGUUAUGCAACUCCUACCGACGAGCCCGGUACAAGGUUAUGGAGCGUGAGCGAAACGUCGAAGACAAUCACAUAAAAGUAGAAGACACAGGAGUAGAAAGGAGUCAAGCUUUAUUAAUAAUCAUCUCUGUUACA
rnacentral:lncRNA from 1 species